AUGUGCGGAGUGUGCGGAGCUCUGUUGUGUACCGCCGGAGGAGAGGAGGCAGAUUAUUUAUCCAGAGAGCUGGAACAUGAAGCAGGUCAGCGAGCCACUAUCGUGUCACUAGACGGUGCAAAGAGAUGUAUAAUUAGGCUGGCGGCGAGUCUCAUCACAGAGCAAAUGAGCAAAGCUUGUGAGAGCGGACGACCCUCGAGGGACCAAGCACUGGCCUCUCUUCUCCUGCCAUGGCCCCGUUCCAGCGAAGGGUCCCUCGGCCCCUCCGAGCCCCGGCUGGAUAAAUAUUUCAGCUGCACUUUCACUUGGUUUGAGUCAUUAUCAGUUACGCGUCGCACUUCAAAGAUCUGACUUCUCCUCGCCGGUCAUUCUUUCAUCUGUGUAAGGGGUGGAUCAUUCCUUUGCUCUGCUGCCGGAGAGAUCUUUCUACUCUUUUCCUUUCUAGCUAAUUCAAUCUUCGUUUUAUACCAGCAUCUUUGGACUGGCCCUGACAUGACAGGCGAGUUUGAGCCCUGCUGUGUUUAAUGGCUCUCUCUUAGGCGCGCGGUAUCUGUCUGUGUCUGUCAAAUGAAUCUGCCUGGUUCAGAACGGGCUGGCUCUAAUUGCAGUGUGUAACGGUUUUAGAUAUGAUCAACUCUCUGACAGCUGGGAUUUGAAAGGUCAGGCGCUCCAAAUCUAAUGACAGUGAAACCAAGAGCAAGCUGUCGCCUGGAAACAAUAGAACUCCGGCAGUCGUGCCCAGGUGGCCACGGCAACGUCAAGCACACCGCUUCAAAAAUUCAAACUGGAUUCCAGGAAUGUAAAGGAGAAUACCCAUUAAUUCUGCAUCGUUCUGACCGGAGGAAUGAUUCUCACAGCUGUUAGGGAUGUUUUGUGGUGAUGCUGGGGCACAAGAGGCUCUUUAUGUCUGUUUUUGCUUGACUGAAACAUUUUAAUGAAGCAAAUGAUUCCCGGAGCGGAGGGUGAUUUAGACAACAGCAGUUCCACAGAAACUUAACUCACUAUACAGUAUGAUUCACUGUUUUCCACUGGUUGCCAGAAUUUUAUCAUAUGAUAGCAACGUUUAUCAACAACAAUUUACAUUUUACAAUUUAUGACAAUUAACUGUUGAAAAAAAAUAAAUAAUUUCAUUAUAACUUAUGUAAUGUUAAU
ensembl:lncRNA